rnacentral:lncRNA from 1 species
UUAGUUUGUUUACAAAUUAUAACAACAGAGCAGCAUAUUGUUUUAUAACUGCGCAAACUGUACAGUAUUGUUUAGUGUGAGUUCAAUAUAAUAUAAUAUUAUCUCAUAAUGGCUAAUAGUGAAAAGAGUGAUGGAAAAAAGAAAAAAAUGGGAAGGAUGUACGAGAUGAAAAGCAGAGAACAAAUAAGCAAAAACAAAACAGGAAUAAUCCUGUGACUAAACGCCUGUACUUGGUGACAUCCAUUGUUUUCUUCUUUAAAAAGUGGACAUUACGCGACUAAUUUUUUAUUUUCUUAAAAACAAUUUAACUCUUAUGCUUUGUUUACAUUAGUUUAUAUUAUCAAUACAUUUUUCUAUCAUUA